CNGGAUGUGCUUCACAUCAGUCACUUGGGGAA
rnacentral:piRNA from 1 species